rnacentral:lncRNA from 1 species
AUACAGUAUUUGUCUUUAUCUUAUUUCACUUAGCGUAGUACCCGCCGGGUCCAUCCCUGUUUCUGUUUUUUGAGUGCUCCUGCACAUAUCAAAUAUAUUAAGUUUGCGGACUAAAGAAGAGAUUUUUAUAAUUAUUUUUAUCUUUUAUGUUAUUUUGCCAAGUGCAUUUUUUGAUAGAGAUUAUUAGGAUGUUUUAAGAUGUACACAUUCAAAAACUGAAAGCUAUAAUUUUAUUAACUUAUACAGAAAUAGUGCAAACAUACUGAAAUAUUGUAAGAUUCAUGCAAAUAACAUUUGGCAGAGUUGUAAAUAUAUACAAGUGUAGAGACAUAAGUAUCUUGAAAUGUGAACUUCAUAGAGGCUCACAGGUUUUUUGAAAAAUACUAGAGGUUAAAUAGUUUUCUCUCGUCUAUUAAGUUCCUUUUAUAUGGAAAACACUGAAGAAAACAUCAAGUUGUUUCUUUUUGAAGACAUUCUAAUCUAUCUAUGGAAGAUAAAAUCUUCAGGAAAUAUGAUGAGACCAAUCACAAAACAAAACAGCUGACAUAUGAGAUUUGAUAGAGUCUUGAUCACUGGAAUCCAAAGGCAAGUUUAUGUCUGUCUGGGUAACAUUCCAGACACAUUGGUCAAUGCAUGUAACUGUCUACUUGGCAAGCUCAGGGUGAAAUAUGGAAGUAUUUGAAGAUUAGCAUUACAGUUCUCCUUCUAAAACAUACCUCUUCCAAAAUGAUGCUCAAAACUCAUCUCAUGCAGGAUACUUCCCUGACAGUUAAGGCAGCAGAAAAAUCUUUUCAUCUUCAAACAGUGCUGUUGAGAAAUGUAUUUUCUUUUCAGAUUUACAUGAAAUAUUCAUAAAAAAGAAAUAAAAGCAGCAAUCAAAUAAAUGUCAAUAAGAAAAAAAAUCACCAUGAAAUUAUUUCUUAUGUUGAGACUUUCUAUUGGGACUCUUUUCUAGUAAUAUAGGUGUGUAUAUCCACUCAUGCAUAUAUACGAAUAUAUGCAAAUUUGACUUAAUUUCUUCCAUUCACACUGUAAGCACUAGAAUGAAAGGGAUGGGUAGGAGGAUAUGUCCACAUAGUAUUGCAUUGGAUGAAGAGAGGAUUAUUUGCAUCAUGUGGAAGGGAGGCUUGAACUUCACUUUGAUCAAUCCUGAUAAACAUGUAAAAUGCACAUAACUGGCUUCAUGACCCUGGUAAACAAAAGCUCAGGGUUUUCGUGAUGACCAGCAGCUGACAUCUCCCACCCACUUAGGGCUUAUCUUCGAUGUGGGGCAAGGUUCAUGGAGAUGGUGGACACAAUUAAAGCCAGUUUGGAAAAGGACUAUAAAGAGGAAGCAUUAGUUUGAUGCAAGACUUUGGGCUACAUGGAAUAUAGAGUGUAGAAUGUACAGGAUUUCUGAUUAAGAAAACCACAGAAAAGAGACAUCUUGUCAGAACACUUCAUCAUAUAAGAAAGUUUGCUAUUCUAAGCUGAGAGUUCAGGAAACACGUCAAUGAUAAAAUGAAGUUUGAGAACAAGUCCUAAAGGGAGUGAGGGAACAACAACUGGAAUUGAAACAGAGCAAGAUCCUGGGGGGCCUUCCCAGGAUAGAGCCCUCUGCUCUACUGCCAUGUCCUCAGCCUACCUUUCAUCUACAGAAAAACUUGAUCCGAAGAAUAAAUUUAAUUAGAGAAGUAAGAAAACGCAGAAACAAAGAAAAGCAGUCAAACAAAACCGAAUAAUAACAGUUUAGUCAUUAAGCAAAGUCAAGGACAUUUAGUUCCUCCUCAAGGGUUAUAGAUAAUAUUCUGAGCCAUAUCCUUUGACCAUUUCAAUGAUAGUGAAACCCCACCAGGUGGAUGAAGUUAACUAUGUGAUGACCAGGCUGUAGCCAUGACAUAAGCUGCCACAGUUCUGAUAACUGGCUUCAAAGAAAUGGGAACAAACCAACCCUGGAACUAAAGAGUAGUUGUAUUGAAAACAAUCAAGAUGACAUUAAUCAGACUUCAAUGGACUCUUUCUGAAUAUUUUAGGUUUUGAUUUUAGGCUUAUCUUUUGAGUUCUAGCAAGCAAAUGCAGUUAUAUGAGCAAAAGGUCAUACACUACCCUAGCAAUUUCAAAAUGGUUGUGAGAGCUGACUGUACUGUUCUACAUGCAGCUGCCUCUCUCCACUUAGAAGCCCUGAAAUUCCCCUUUAAGGGCUCUUGCCCACUGACCAAGAGUGGGGAGUUGGCCUUUGCACAUGAGUCCGCCUUCUCCACUGGUUGCUGGCCUCCAGAAUAAGGCAAACUUUCUUUCUACCAUCACUUGUCUCCUGAAUAUUGGAUUUCAAGCAGCCAGACCUGAAUUUGGGAACAGAAUAAGUGACAGGUUAGAGGGAAGGAUUUCAGGCAGAGAGAAUAAAAUUUUAAAAAUAAUCAUCAGUAAUUACAGUGCCUUGUGACUUUCAGUUUUCUUCGUUAAACAAAUAAGACCAUGCUUAACUGACAGUAAUACUCAUGGCAACUUACAUAUGGAAGAAUUGACAACAAAUUCCUAUUUUUGUUUCAUAAAUGAAAUAUCAGAAGUGUUAGUAUUUACAACUGGAAUGUGUGUGGGGAGAAAAAUGUACUCAAUUUCUUUAUAUUCUUUCAAGGCAAAAAAUACAAUACAGCUUUAAUGGAGAAUAAAUUGACAUCUUUUUUUUAAAGCAGUUGUCACAAUUGGAGUGAAUAAUCAAUUUGAAAGAACCCUUUUAAAGAGUCAUCACUGAUUAUUCUCUUGACCUUUUGCUCAUAUAACUGCAUUUGCUUGCUAGAACUCAAAAGAUAAGCCUAAAAUCAAAACCUAAAAUAUUCAGAAAGAGUCCAUUGAAGCUAAACAAAGUAUGUGGAGUUUUAAGACUCAAGCAGGAGGAUAGAUGCAAAAACAAACUUUAGAAGGUAUAAAUAGGCACAGUUUCACAGAAGUUUCAGGGGAAAAAGUGCAAAGAAUUAUAAAACAGUAUCCAAGUUUACUUUACAGUACACCUUUGUUUUCUUACUCCACUGUUUUGCAAAACAAAUUUUGAAAUUUUACCUUAAAAAUAUUUCAUUCCUCUAUGAGAGUCUGAUUUAUCUUCUAGAUUUAUCUUCUAGUCUUCCUGCAUUUAAAGGCAACAAAAUAUUUUAAUUUGUAUCUAUUACACCAGUAUUUGAUUUUCAGAGACUGAUCUAUUAAAGUGCUCUGAUUUUUACAUACACACUUAGCUUUGGUCUUUAAAAUCACAGCCACUUACUUUAUAUUGAGUUUAAUAAACUACUUACACCGGCCCUGGGGAAAGAUCCGUAUAUAAACAAAUGCCUUUAAUGGUGUGUAGAUGGUUCCUGUAAGCCAUUUAGAAUACAUCAAUGUUUAAAUCAUCCCUCAUGUUAAACUUACUUUAGGUCUGUAAUACAUGUACAAACAUUAGGAGGUACAUGGUUAUUUAUUUAUUUACUUUGUAUAUUUGUGCUAUCACAAAAAGUUAGGAGAUUAACUAGGAUACUCAGAAGUCAGGUUUCUUAGAAAACCAAAAUUAAAUGUAGUCUGUUGGAAGAGUAGAUGCGCAGAGGGCUUAAAGUGAAGCUGAUAAAUAGAAAUUUUUGCUACAUUGCCUAGUAUUCCCUUUAUCUGGUCCCUAGUAUCCAACUUCUUAAGCAACUCUUAAUCCUUGCUUGGUAAAGAUAAUCUAGUAAAUGCUGCCUGCAUUUGAUCUGAUGAUACUAAUCCCCCUAUUUUCUAACUUCGCUAAAAUAAAUUUUUAAAAAUAUACUGGGGGAAUAAUGGUAAAUGAAGACUCCUUUUCUUCUGGUACGCUCAGAUGAUAGAAUGCGGUGCCUCCAGACAAGAUACUGUCAUCAUCAGGGCGUCAGCAUACAUCCAGCUUUGUGAGCGAAGACCUGCUCUAGUCAGGCUCUUGCUGUGCUCUGUGACUCCAUGUUCCCAAGUUUUGUGCUUUUCAGAUAUCAUCUCUCCACUUCGGGUGCAUGUCCGAGAAUCCCAUUCUGUCAUUAUUUGAUAAGCACAGUAAAAAUAUUCUUUUAUCACACUUUUCAGAUUUAAGCAUCUUUUCUGACACUGUGUAGGUCCAGCUGCUACUUGGCCUUCUCUAGACAUAUUUUGCAUGGAUAAUGCAUUUGCAUUUGAAGAGUCAUCUGUUAUUUUGCUUUCUCCCUUCCAUAGCAAUUUGGUUGACUUCUUGUCUAGCAAAGCCAUUCUCAUCAGAGUUCUUUCUCUUUCCCUGCAUGAUUUGACUACCAAUGAAAACUUGCUAUUGAGACAUCUUGUCACCCUUAGGACAAAAAAUGGCUGUAGAUUUUUAGGCAGCAGCCGAUCAAUCAUUCUUCCAUUUACCAGCAUGGAAACCAAUUUGGCAGAGAUGUCAUGUGAGAAUACGCCUUGGCUCUUUGAGUUAUUAUGGCAUAACGCCAUGUGUAACUGAUGCUAUUUUCAACAUAACAAAUUAUUUUUGUACAUUUUUACAAUUCAUAUAAGGUAAGAAAGUAUAGCAUGAACAUAGAAUAAAUGCUAAGUGUCCUAAGCAAAAAAAGAGGAAAGGGGAAUAAAGAGUGAAAGAAAAUGCAAGAAACAAAAUUGUGGCUGUGCUAAUUUUAUCGUUGGCACUGACCUCUUUCUUUUGAGUCAAGACCGUGUGUUGAUGGGCCCAUGCUGCAGGCAGAUACUGACCACGGGUUUCCCCUCUAUCUGAAAAGUAGAGCCUUUCUGCAAGCUGAAAUGGCUUCAAAGGAAGAAGCAAUUACUUUGGGACACAUCCUGCCAAGGGAUGCACAGAAUAAAUCGAGGUAAAACACAGAUGCUCACACAGUUCAGAGCUCUGGGGGCCUGAUGCUGAUAUGCUGAGUCUGGUUCCUGGGGAAGGAGCUUGCACAGCCACUCAUCCUGCUCAGGUGCACCAGCCUCAGUAGUGACUCCUUACAAAACAAAUGCUGAAUGUUAUCUUCACUUUGCACCUUUAUUUCAAGGAAGUGAAAAUCCUCUUAGGAUGUCUUCUUUUUUAACUUUCCAGAAUAAUUUUAUUUAUGUGUUUUUAAAAAAUAAUUAUUGGAGUAUACUUGACUUACAAUGUGUGUUAGUUUCAAGUGUACAGCAAAGUGAAUCAAUUAUACAUAUACACAUAUCCAUUCUUUUUCAGAUUCUUUUCCAUUAUAGGUUAUUACAGAAUACUGAGUAGAGUUCCCUGUGCUAUACAGUAGGUUCUUGUUAAUUAUCUAUUUUAUAUAUAAAUGUGUGUAUAUGUUAAUCCCAAACUCCUAAUUUAUCCCUCCCCCUCCUGUUUCCCCUUUGGUGACCAUAAAUUUAAUUUCAGAAUCUGCGAGUCUAUUUCUGUUUUGUAAAUAAGUUUAUUUGUAUCUUUUCAAAAAUUAGAUUCCACAUAUGAGUGAUAUAUUCUUUCUGUUAGCAAAAACAGGUGCAAAUAUAGGUCUUUCCCAAAAGCAAAGUGGUGGAAAAUGAACUUUCAAAAAGUGGGGAUAAUUGUAUAGAAGUGUGCUUAUAAGAUUAUGUGUUUUUUUUCCAUUGGACGUUCUCAGGCAAGGCAUCUAAGUCGCACCUCAGCAGUAAUCUGAGCCACUUCAGUGACAAUGCUGGGUCCUUAGCUCGCUGAGCCACAAGAGAACUAACUCCAAGAUUAUAAAUCUUAUUUACAUAAAAUAUAGUUUAAAAGUUCACGAACAAAAUAAUACGUGUGUAUUUCAAAGUGUUUCUAACAAUGCCAGAAGUGCUGUCCAUUUUAGAUUGUACUGUAGUUUUAAUGGUCUAUACUCUGACAAAAUAUGUAAAUAGAGUAUUUUUGAUAUUUUCCUAUACUCAGAAAUAUAUAUGUAUACUUGUAUUUCAAAGAGCUAUAUCUACAUAAAUAGUUUUCCUGAAUAAAUAUGUAUUUCUGUAGCUUCAUGGGACAAUCUGCAGCAGGUGGAUUCUAUCAAAUGUUUAACAAAGAAAUAAUACAAAACUCAUACAGAUAUCUCUAGGAAAUAGAAGGAUGGUUCAGCUUGUUUUUUGAGGCCAGAGGACAUUGAUUCCAACAUCAGAUGAAGAUACUGCAAGGAAAGAAAAUAGUAGAAGAGUUAUCCUUCAUGAGUUCAAAC